rnacentral:rRNA from 1 species
AGUGAACGCUAGCGGUAGGCCUAACACAUGCAAGUCGAACGGCAGCACAGUAAGAGCUUGCUCUUACGGGUGGCGAGUGGCGGACGGGUGAGGAAUACAUCGGAAUCUACUUUUUCGUGGGGGAUAACGUAGGGAAACUUACGCUAAUACCGCAUACGACCUACGGGUGAAAGCAGGGGAUCUUCGGACCUUGCGCGAUUGAAUGGGCCGAUGUCGGAUUAGCUAGUUGGCGGGGUAAAGGCCCACCAAGGCGACGAUCCGUAGCUGGUCUGAGAGGAUGAUCAGCCACACUGGAACUGAGACACGGUCCAGACUCCUACGGGAGGCAGCAGUGGGGAAUAUUGGACAAUGGGCGCAAGCCUGAUCCAGCCAUACCGCGUGGGUGAAGAAGGCCUUCGGGUUGUAAAGCCCUUUUGUUGGGAAAGAAAAGCAGCAGGUUAAUACCCCGCUGUUCUGACGGUACCCAAAGAAUAAGCACCGGCUAACUUCGUG